rnacentral:rRNA from 1 species
AGAUUAAGCCAUGCAUGUCUAAGUAUAAACGAUUUAAUCGUGAAACCGCGAAUGGCUCAUUAUAACAGCUAUAAUUUACUUGAUCUUGACACAAUCCUACUUGGAUAACUGUGGUAAUUCUAGAGCUAAUACAUGCAUUAAAGCUCUGACCUCACGGGAAGAGUGCAUUUAUUAGAACAAAACCAAGCGGCUUCGGCUGUUUCUGGUUGACUCAUAGUAACUGAGCUGAUCGCAUGGUCUUGCACCGGCGACGUGUCUUUCAAGUAUCUGCCGUAUCAACUUUCGAUGGUAGUGUAUCUGACUACCAUGGUGAUCACGCGUAACGGAGAAUAAGGGUUCGGCUCCGGAGAGUUCGCCUGAGAAAUCGCGAACACAUCUAAGGAAGGCAGCAGGCGCGAAAAUUACCCACUCUCAGCACGAGGAGGUAGUGACGAAAAAUAACGAGACCGUUCUCUUAUGAGGCCGGUCAUCGGAAUGGGUACAAUUUAAACCCUUUAACGAGUAUCU